UGCGCAGGCGGAAUAUUAAGUCAGUGGUGAAAGCCUACAGCUCAACUGUAGAACUGCCAUUGAAACUGAUAUUCUUGAGUAUAGUUGUAGUGGGCGGAAUAUAUCAUGUAGCGGUGAAAUGCUUAGAUAUGAUAUAGAACACCGAUCGCGAAGGCAGCUCACUAAACUAUAACUGACGCUCAGGCACGAAAGCGUGGGGAGCAAACAGGAUUAGAUACCCUGGUAGUC
rnacentral:rRNA from 1 species